AGUGAACGCUGGCGGUAGGCCUAACACAUGCAAGUCGAACGGCAGCACAGUAAGCGCCUGCUCUUACGGGUGGCGAGUGGCGGACGGGUGAGGAAUACAUCGGAAUCUACUUUUUCGUGGGGGAUAGCGUAGGGAAAAAUACGCCAAUACAGCAUACGAUGUACGGGUGAAAGCAGGGGAUCUUCGGACACUGCGCGAUUGAAUGAGCCGAUGUCGGAUUAGCUAGUUGGCGGGGUAAAGGCCCACCAAGGCGACGAUCCGUAGCUGGUCUGAGAGGAUGAUCAGCCACACUGGAACUGAGACACGGUCCAGACUCCUACGGGAGGCAGCAGUGGGGAAUAUUGGACAAUGGGGGCAAGCCUGAUCCAGCCAUGCCGCGUGGGUGAAGAAGGCCUUCGGGUUGUAAAGCCCUUUUGUUGGGAAAGAAAAGCAGCAGGUUAAUACCCCGCUGUGCUGACGGUACCCAAAGAAUAAGCACCGGCUAACUUCGUG
rnacentral:rRNA from 1 species